UACGGGAGGCAGCAGUGGGGAAUAUUGCACAAUGGGCGCAAGCCUGAUGCAGCCAUGCCGCGUGUAUGAAAAAGGCCUUCGGGUUGUAAAGUACUUUCAGUCGUGAAGGAGGGUGUUAAGGUUAAUAACCUUAGCAAUUGACGUUAGCGACAGAAGAAGCACCGGCUAACUCCGUGCCAGCAGCCGCGGUAAUACGGAGGGUGCGAGCGUUAAUCGGAAUUACUGGGCGUAAAGGGCACGCAGGCGGUUAAUUAAGUUGGAUGUGAAAUCCUCGGGCUUAACCUGGGAAUGGCAUUCAAGACUGGUUAGCUAGAGUCUUGUAGAGGGGGUAGAAUUCCAUGUGUAGCGGUGAAAUGCGUAGAGAUGUGGAGGAAUACCGGUGGCGAAAGGCGGCCCCUGGACAAAGACUGACGCUCAUGUGCGAAAGCGUGGGGAGCAAACAGGGAUUAGAUACC
rnacentral:rRNA from 1 species